rnacentral:rRNA from 1 species
UACGUAGGGGGCAAGCGUUGUCCGGAUUUAUUGGGCGUAAAGAGCGUGUAGGCGGCCAAGCAGGUCCGCUGUGAAAACUCGAGGCUCAACCUCGAGACGUCGGUGGAAACCGUUUGGCUAGAGUCCGGAAGAGGAGAGUGGAAUUCCCGGUGUAGCGGUGAAAUGCGCAGAUAUCGGGAAGAACACCCGUGGCGAAGGCGGCUCUCUGGGACGGUACUGACGCUGAGACGCGAAAAGCGUGGGGAGCAAACAGG